CCGGCGACCGGCGCACGGGUGCGUAACGCGUAUGCAACCUACCUUUAACAGGGGGAUAACACUGAGAAAUUGGUACUAAUACCCCAUAAUAUCAUAGAAGGCAUCUUUUAUGGUUGAAAAUUCCGAUGGUUAGAGAUGGGCAUGCGUUGUAUUAGCUAGUUGGUGGGGUAACGGCUCACCAAGGCGACGAUACAUAGGGGGACUGAGAGGUUAACCCCCCACACUGGUACUGAGACACGGACCAG
rnacentral:rRNA from 1 species